rnacentral:lncRNA from 10 species
AAGAGGAAGGAAGGAAGGGAGGGAGGGAGAGAAGGAGAAAGGAAGAAAGGGAAGGAAAAUGGAAUGGAGGAAGGGAAAAAUGGAAGGAGGAAGGAAGGAAGGGAAAGAAUGAAGAAAGCCAUUUGUUCCUGCAAACCUAAACCUCUUUGUAGUAAGUUCUGGCAGAAGGUGUGUUUCUGGAGUUAAACUACAGGCUUGGAAAUGGAAUUUCUUAGCCUAAUUUCUAAAUUAGAACUGCUUAUGCAAAUUAACACUCCGUACAUUUCAACAAGCAGUUGGCUGAUUUCUUC